GCCACAUAGGUCAGUUGGUAGGAGCAUGGGACUCUUAAUCUCAAGGAUGUGGGUUUGAGCCCCACAUGGGGUG